CGUCAUCCGAAGUCUGGCUCAGGUGGAUCCAAACACGAAAGCGAAUAAAGAGGAGGGGGCGGUUGCUACAAAGGGCGAAGUCCAGAAUACGACCAACCUACUGGCCUGGCUCCCGGAGGUGUUGAAAACACUUCCCCCCAAGGCUUCCUCACCGCCUCCCUGCUACUCCCACACCCCCGGGUCCCUCAAACCAUGUCCAAAGUUCAACAGUUUCAAAGAGGCAGCCCUGAAGUGAAGGAACAAACAUGGCCUUUGGCAACAGCAGGUUGGGUUUCCAAUCUGGACUGCCAAGGCCCUGUGAGCUGUGUGGCCUUGGAAGGGUCCCAGGAGGGCUCUUGUGAUGUGGUCCCUUAGGGCCUGGGUGAGGAUAACACAGGUCUAUGUGUGUCAAGGCCAAGCGCAUUGUGGUUCUCAGGAAUAAGGAUUCCUUCCUCUUUCCCACUCCCUACCCAGCCACACACCCACCCUUCCCUUUGUUCCUUUCUCUGUUAUGCAACCAAAGUUUAAAUCCUUCGUAGGUUCACUGCCAGCAAACAGCAAAACAGUGGCCUGGCAAAGGGAGGUUUCGAAAACCACAUUGCCCACGUUCUUGUCCACGUGCUCUAGGACAGGACCUCUGCACUCUUUCCCCAAUAUCGCAAAGAGCCCCGUAAGUGGUUACUUCCCCAAAUCGCUGAGCUGCGGCCAGCUGUUGCUAUGGCGACCAGAACCCGCUGACAACCAUCUUGAAGGGCCUCUGAGGAGGAGACUGCUUGGCUUCCAUUCACGCACAGUUCAAACGGCUCGGCUCGCCCACAGCUCUGGGGAAAAGCCAGCUGCUACACUGUGGGAAUACAUAGCCUCAAGAAGAGGCCCUCACGGCAUAAGACUGGGGCCUUCUGCCAAAACCCAGCGAGAUGCUGGGCUCUCCCACCAAUGGCUGUGCGAGUGAGCGGGCAACAGACCCUCCGGCCCCAGUCGGCUUCAGAUGCUGGCAGCCCCACGUGUAACCUCAAGGCAGGCCUUGAGCCAAACCAUCCAGCUAAGCUGCUCCAAAUUUUCUGACCCACAACAACUGUGAGAUAAUAAAUGUUUGCUAUUCCAA